CCGUAUCCCGAAUGCAAACUGUAAGUUUGUCAGCUAUGAACGGUGGCGUAAGUUCUUGCUACGAAGAAAAGGAAAACGUA